rnacentral:rRNA from 1 species
UACGAAGGGGGCUAGCGUUGCUCGGAAUUACUGGGCGUAAAGCGCACGUAGGCGGAUUGUUAAGUCGGGGGUAAAAUCCUGGAGCUCAACUCCAGAACUGCCUUUGAUACUGGCGAGCUUGAGUUCGGGAGAGGUGAGUGGAACUGCGAGUGUAGAGGUGAAAUUCGUAGAUAUUCGCAAGAACACCAGUGGCGAAGGCGGCUCACUGGCCCGAUACUGACGCUGAGGUGCGAAAGCGUGGGGAGCAAACAGG